rfam:Schistosoma mattheei strain Denwood, Zambia genome assembly, scaffold: SMTD_scaffold0022516
GUCCAGCUGACGAGUUCUAAAUAGGACGAAACACACAUCCUGAAU